rnacentral:rRNA from 1 species
CCUACGGGAGGCAGCAGUGGGGAAUAUUGCACAAUGGGGGGAACCCUGAUGCAGCGACGCCGCGUGGGUGAAGGAGUAUUUCGGUAUGUAAAGCCCUAUCAGCAGGGAAGAACAAUGACGGUACCUGAGUAAGAAGCCCCGGCUAACUACGUGCCAGCAGCCGCGGUAAUACGCAGGGGGCAAGCGUUAUCCGGAUUUACUGGGUGUCAAGGGAGCGUAGACGGCAGUGCAAGUCUGGAGUGAAAGGCGGGGGCUCAACCCCCGGACUGCUGUGGAAACUGUACGGCUGGAGUGCAGGAGAGGUAAGUGGAAUUCCUGGUGUAGCGGUGAAAUGCGUAGAUAUUAGGAGGAACACCAGUGGCGAAGGCGGCUUACUGGACUGUAACUGACGUUGAGGCUCGAAAGCGUGGGGAGCAAACAGGAUUAGAUACCCCAGUAGUC